GAGGGUAUAGCUCAAGUGGUAGAGCACAUGCUUAGCAUGCACGAGGUCCCGGGUUCAAUCCCCAGUGCCUCCA
rnacentral:tRNA from 1 species